UGGAGACCAGCCUUGGCUGGACCACUUCCACCCCAGAGGCUCUUCACCGCCUCCCCAUCCAGACCCAAGGUUCCCUAGUGGUCCAGACGGUUUCCUUGGCAGCGCUGGCACCAGGCCCACCACAGCUGCCAAACAUGAGGUGAUGGGACAGCCCUCGUGGCCUCCACCCACCGCCCUGGUGGAGAAGUGAAACAUGAACCCACCAGUGCAAGACAGAGGAAGAGGCACCAGCGAAGUCACACUAGGGAGAAUCCACAUCAGCCUGGCCAUGCAGGGGAGGCCUCACGAAGCCCUGGGAAGCCAGAGCAAUAAAACUCUUGUUCAAACAAACGAUUACAGUGGUAAGACACGAAAAGGAAGCUGUUCCUGCUGAUGAAGGGUGAGAAACCUGGAGCCUUCCCUCCCUCCACGCCACGUGGCAGACACCUCAGGGAAUGCUGGGUCUCAGGAGAACAUGCCGAUCCCGUUAACACACAGUCUUCAUAUGAAACCAUGUGGGAACUCAACACAUGCUGUCUCCUCUCUAACCUGAGAUCCUGGCCCUGUUCCACAAAGCGAGGCAGCCUCUUAUAUACCCCUCACAAACCAAGUACUGGGGUGGUGGCCAAAGGGGAGAGACAGGCUAGGGUGUGGGUGGGCCGAAGAAAUCUGAGAGGGACAGGAGCUGCGGUGGCCUGGUCUCUGAGCCUGCAGAGGCUCCCUUCCAGAGAGAGAGCUUGGAACUCAGUCUCUGCCUCCCUCCUUCUCUCCCUCCCUCCAGCAGAACUGCCCUGCCCCAGGGGGUUCAUACCUCGCUAGUCCCCUAGGCCUACACCUUUCCUAAUCUUAGGAGAGACAUAAGAAAAGGAAUCUCUCCCCUUCCCCGCAGAAUACUUUUUUUUUUUUUUUAAACAGGGUCUCUCUCUGUCACCUGGCUGGAGUGCAGUGGCGCAAUCAUGCUCACUGCAACUCUGCCUCCUGGGCUCAAGUGAUCCUCCCACCUCAGCCUCCCAAGUAGCUGGGACCACAGGCAUGCACCACCACGCCUGGCUAAUUUUUGUAUUUUUUGUAGAGAUGGGAUUUCGCCAUGUUGCCCAGGCUGGUCUCAAACUCCCAGCCUCAAGUGAUCCUCCCACCUAGGCCUCCCAAAGUGCUGGGAUUACAGGCAUGAGCCACCGUGCCUGGCCCACAAUACUUUGGUAUAGUUGCUUCAAGCCCAGAUUCUGGUUCUUCGCACAGUCAACCUAUAGGGUGCCCCCCCACCGCCCCCCCCAUAGUCCUUGAUAGUCAUGCUGGGUUAGUUUCUCUAACCAGAGGAUGGGCCCAUUCUUCGCUGUGAGAUGGUGUGUGGGGACAUCGGUAAGGAACAAAUAAAGACUUGGGCAAAUAACUUUAUUCUGAGGUUGGUUAUCUCAGCCACAGGCUGAGCAUCAUAGUACCUAUUCCGCAGGGCUAUUUGGAGGAUUAAAUGAGAUAAUGUGUAUCAAAGCCCAACAUGACAGGAGCUCAGCGUAGAAGCAGUUCCAUACCAGAAAAAAGGAUGGCUUUGUCCCUUAGGUGUCGUGUCACCUCAGAUAAGGCAUUUCCCCUCUUUGAACUCCAGUUUCCUCAUUUGUAAAAUGAGCAUGUUUAAAAUUUUUUUUACUUAAAAAAGGGGCAUAUUAAUAUCUACCCUUCACAGUUGCUAUAAGUAGAGGCGAUUCACAUGACGUGGUUGAUACCUGGCACAAAGAAAGUACUCAAAACAGGAUAGUAAUAAUUGUAAUUAUUACUACUUUUACUAUUAUUAACUUAACUAGAAGGGCAGUGUGGUUUUAUAGUUAAGCACAUAAACUUUGCAGCCAAAUUUCCUAGGUUUAACUUACAAGUCAUCAAUGGAGCUGUGUGACUUUGAGCAAAUUACUUAACCUCUCUGUGCCUACAGUUCAUUAACUGUAUACUAAUUUACCUACUUCAUGGCCUUGCAGUGAUAAAGAAGUUAUUGUAUGUAGAGCACUUUGCAGAGUGCCUGGCAAAUAGUAAAUGCCACAAACACAUUUGCUGUAAUUAUUCUUAGUAAUAAAUAUCCAUAUUUGUACUAUUAUAGUCAUUAACAACUCGGCUCUGUGAAAGCCUUCUCCUUGGAUCCAAUUAAGGGACCCACAAACCAACAGAUCCACCAUCCUACAAAAGGUUUAGCCCCCUCAGAAGCUGUGUGACCUCGGGCUAGUUACCUCUCCUCUCUGAGCCUGCUUUUAUUUAUCUACAAAAUGUGAAUUGUAAUAGUACCCAUAAUGAUACUUCUAGGUUGUUUGACGUGCAUUAGUGAGCGAUGACCCGUGGGAAGCUUCUAGCUUCUAGUCAAUUAAGCCCUGGUCCCCGUGCUCUG
rnacentral:lncRNA from 1 species